CCCUUAGAUGCUCUGGGCCGCACGCGCGCUACACUGGUCGAUGCAACGAGUUUCUUUCCUUGGCCGACAGGCCUGGGCAAUCUUUGAACAUCGAUCGUGAUCGGGAUAGAUUCUUGUAAUUUUUGAUCUUAAACGAGGAAUUCCUAGUAAACGCAAGUCAUCAGCUUGCAUUGAUUACGUCCCUGCCCUUUGUACACACUGCCCGUCGCACCUACCGAUUGAAUGGUCCGGUGAAAUCUCCGGACUGGCGUGAGUCGGAGCAAUCUGACAAACACCGGAAAGUUGAUUAAACCUUACCAUUUAGAGGAAGGUGAAGUCGUAACA
rnacentral:rRNA from 1 species